UUCGCAAUGCCCGAAAGGGUGACGAAGCGACGCCGCGUGUGGGAAGAAGGCCUUCGGGUUGUAAACCACUGUCGGGAGUUAAGAAAUGUAAGGGUGUUAAUAGUAUCCUUACUUGACUAAGGCUCCGGAGGAAGCCACGGCUAACUCUGUGCCAGCAGCCGCGGUAAUACAGAGGCGGCAAGCGUUGUUCGGAAUUAUUGGGCGUAAAGAGCACGUAGGCGGCUAUGUAAGUCGGUUGUGAAAGCCUUCCGCUCAACGGAAGAACAGCAGUUGAAACUACAGGGCUUGAGUGCGGGAGGGGAGAGUGGAACUUCUGGUGGAGCGGUGAAAUGCGUAGAUAUCAGAAGGAACGCCGGCGGCGAAAGCGGCUCUCUGGCCCAUAACUGACGCUGAGUGUGCGAAAGCUAGGGGAGCAAACGGGAUUAGAUACCCCGGUAGUCCUAGCCGUAAACGAUGGGCACUAAGUAGAGGGGUUUU
rnacentral:rRNA from 1 species